UACAGAGGGUGCGAGCGUUAAUCGGAAUUACUGGGCGUAAAGGGCGCGUAGGCGGGAUGGCAAGUCGGUCGUGAAAUCCCUCGGCUCAACUGAGGAUCGUCGAUCGAUACUGCCGUUCUUGAGGAUUGCAGAGGAGACUGGAAUUCCCGGUGUAGCGGUGAAAUGUGUAGAGAUCGGGAGGAACACCGGUGGCGAAGGCGGGUCUCUGGGCAAUUCCUGACGCUGAGGCGCGAAAGCGUGGGGAGCGAACAGG
rnacentral:rRNA from 1 species